rnacentral:rRNA from 1 species
UACGUAGGGGGCAAGCGUUGUCCGGAUUUACUGGGCGUAAAGAGCGUGUAGGCGGCCACGCAGGUCCGUUGUGAAAACUGGAGGCUCAACCUCCAGCUGUCGACGGAAACCGUAUGGCUAGAGUCCGGAAGAGGAGAGUGGAAUUCCUGGUGUAGCGGUGAAAUGCGCAGAUAUCAGGAGGAACACCGAUGGCGAAGGCAGGUCUCUGGGCCAUAACUGACGCUGAGAAGCGAAAGCAUGGGGAGCGAACAGG